AUUGGUGAAGGUGAUCUUCUUUACUCAUCUACUGAUUCAAAUGCAAAUCUCUUCCAGAAAUACCCUCACAGACCAUCCAGAAGUAAUGUUUUACAGUGGUCUGGGCAUCCCUUAGCCCAGUAAAGUUGACACAUAAGAGUAACCAGCACAAAUAACUGCAAUUGAAGGAUAAAUGCUCCAUGUUUCUCUGCCAGUUGGCGUUUAUCAGAGGACACUGGAAGAAGAGGGACAAAGGUGCCUGGAUGUUUGUCUGUGAGCCUAAGCCUGUAAUUUUCUGAAGCAAAGGUGCUGGUGAAGUUGCCUCAUAAAAAAGCAAACCUUCCAGAAUCUUCCAUUGGUGAACUGUCACCUGCAAAGACCUCUGAGAGGUACAGUAGAAAAUUCUGCCUUAUUCUCCUCUCUCUCCCUUUCCAUAAGUCACUCACAGCCCUGCCAACUGAAUUUGGAGGUGGUGCUAUCUGAUGCUGCAAUUCAUUAA